AUUGAACGCUGGCGGCAUGCUUUACACAUGCAAGUCGAACGGUAACAGGGUGCUUGCACCGCUGACGAGUGGCGAACGGGUGAGUAAUGCGUCGGAACGUGCCGAGUAGUGGGGGAUAACGCAGCGAAAGUUGUGCUAAUACCGCAUACGUACUGAGGUAGAAAGUGGGGGACCUUCGGGCCUCACGCUAUUCGAGCGGCCGACGUCUGAUUAGCUAGUAGGUGAGGUAAAGGCUCACCUAGGCGACGAUCAGUAGCGGGUCUGAGAGGAUGAUCCGCCAAACUGGGACGUAGACACGGCCCAGACUCCUACUGGAGGCAGCAGUGGGGAAUUUUGGACAAUGGGCGAAAGCCUGAUCCAGCCACGCCGCGUGUCUGAAGAAGGCCUUCGGGUUGUAAAGGACUUUUGUCAGGGAGGAAAUCCCUAGUGCUAAUAACACUGGGGGAUGACAGUACCUGAAGAAUAAGCACCGGCUAACUACGUGCCAGCCGCCGCCGUAA
rnacentral:rRNA from 1 species